UUGACAUACCAUUGACAGGUCUAGAGAUAGACUCUCCUUCGGGCAAUGGAUACAGGUGGUGCAUGGUUGUCGUCAGCUCGUGCCGUGAGGUGUUGGGUUAAGUCCCGCAACGAGCGCAACCCUCAUUGUUAGUUACUACCAUUCAGUUGAGGACUCUAAUGAGACUGCCAACGACAAGUUGGAGGAAGGUGGGGAUGACGUCAAAUCAUCAUGCCCUUUAUGACCUGGGCUACAAACGUACUACAAUGGCCAAUACAAAGAGAUGCGAAGCGGUGACGUGGAGCGAACCUCAGAAAGUUGGUCUCAGUUCAGAUUGAAGUCUGCAACUCGACUUCAUGAAGGCGGAAUCGCUAGUAAUCGCGGGUCAGCAGACCGCGGUGAAUACGUUCCCGGGUUUU
rnacentral:rRNA from 1 species